rnacentral:rRNA from 1 species
CCUACGGGUGGCAGCAGUGGGGGAUAUUGCACAAUGGGGGGAACCCUGAUGCAGCGACGCCGCGUGUGGGAAGACGGUCCUAUGGAUUGUAAACCACUGUCCCCAGGGACGACACUGACGGUACCUGGAGAGGAAGCUCCGGCUAACGACGUGCCAGCAGCCGCGGUAAUACGUAGGGAGCGAGCGUUGUCCGGAUUUACUGGGUGUAAAGGGAGCGUAGGCGGGGAUGCAAGUUGGGUGUCAAAACUACCGGCGCAACUGGUAUUCGCGCUCAAAACUGCAGCUCUUGAGUGAAGUAGAGGCAGGCGGAAUUCCUAGUGUAGCGGUGAAAUGCGUAGAUAUUAGGAGGAACACCAGUUGCGAAGGCGGCCUGCUGGGCUUUUACUGACGCUGAGGCUCGAAAGUGUGGGGAGCAAACAGGAUUAGAUACCCGUGUAGUC